CACACGACUCUCGGCAACGGAUAUCUCGGCUCUCGCAUCGAUGAAGAACGUAGCGAAAUGCGAUACCUGGUGUGAAUUGCAGAAUCCCGCGAACCAUCGAGUCUUUGAACGCAAGUUGCGCCCGAGGCCACCCGGCCGAGGGCAUGCCUGCCUGGGCAUCACGC
rnacentral:rRNA from 1 species